rnacentral:rRNA from 1 species
AUUGAACGCUGGCGGCAGGCCUAACACAUGCAAGUAGAACGAGUGGCGGACGGGUGAGUAAUGUCUGGGAAACUGCCCGAUAGAGGGGGAUAAAUACUGGAAACGGUAGCUAAUACCGCAUACCAUCGGAUGUGCCCAGAUGGGAUUAGCUUGUAGGUGAGGUAACGGCUCACCUAGGCGACGAGCCCUAGCGGGUCUGAGAGGAGGAACAGACAGACUGGAACUGAGACACGGGCCAGACUCCUACGGGAGGCAGCAGUGGGGAAUAGUGCACAAGGGGCGAAAGCCUGAUGCAGCCAUGCCGCGUGUAUGAAGAAGGCCUUCGGGUUGUAAAGUACUUUCAGCGGGGAGGCGUUACACGCAGAAGAAGCACCGGCUAACUCCGUGCCAGCAGCCGCGGUAAUUC